UAGGGAAUCUUAGGCAAUGGGGGCAACCCUGACCGAGCAACGCCGCGUGAGUGAAGAAGGUUUUCGGAUCGUAAAGCUCUGUUGUAAGAGAAGAACGUGUGUGAGAGUGGAAAGUUCACACAGUGACGGUAACUUACCAGAAAGGGACGGCUAACUACGUGCCAGCAGCCGCGGUAAUACGUAGGUCCCGAGCGUUGUCCGGAUUUAUUGGGCGUAAAGCGAGCGCAGGCGGUUUAAUAAGUCUGAAGUUAAAGGCAGUGGCUUAACCAUUGGUCGCUUUGGAAACUGUUAAACUUGAGUGCAGAAGGGGAGAGUGGAAUUCCAUGUGUAGCGGUGAAAUGCGUAGAUAUAUGGAGGAACACCGGUGGCGAAAGCGGCUCUCUGGUCUGUAACUGACGCUGAGGCUCGAAAGCGUGGGGAGCAAACAGG
rnacentral:rRNA from 1 species